rnacentral:rRNA from 1 species
GAUGAACGCUGGCGGCGUGCCUAAUACAUGCAAGUCGAGCGAACAGACGAGGAGCUUGUGCCUUUGACGUUAGCGGCGGACGGGUGAGUAACACGUGGAUAACCUACUUAUAUUUCGGGGAUCAUUUCGGGAAACCGGAUCUAAUACCGGAGAAUAUAUUGAACCGCAGGGUGCAAUGGAGAAUGACGGCUUUGCUGUCUGUAAUAGAUGCAUCCGAGCUGCAUUAGCUAGUUGGUAGGGUAACGGCUUACCAAGGCAACGAUGCGUAGCCGACCUGAGAGGGGGAUCGGCCACACUGGAACUGGGACACGGUCCAGACUCCUACGGGAGGCAGCAGUCGGGAAUCUUACGCAAUGGGCGAAAGCCUGACGCAGCAACGCCGCGUGAGUGAUGAAGGUCUUCGGAUCGUAAAGCUCUGUUGUUGGGGAAGAACAGCUGUGGAAGUAACUAUGCCCGUAUUGACGGUACCUAAUCAAAAAGCACCGGCUAACUACGUG